rnacentral:rRNA from 1 species
AGACCCGAAACCCGGUGAUCUAGCCAUGGGCAGGUUGAAGGUUGGGUAACACUAACUGGAGGACCGAACCGACUAAUGUUGAAAAAUUAGCGGAUGACUUGUGGCUGGGGGUGAAAGGCCAAUCAAACCGGGAGAUAGCUGGUUCUCCCCGAAAGCUAUUUAGGUAGCGCCUCGUGAAUUCAUCUCCGGGGGUAGAGCACUGUUUCGGCAAGGGGGUCAUCCCGACUUACCAACCCGAUGCAAACUGCGAAUACCGGAGAAUGUUAUCACGGGAGACACACGGCGGGUGCUAACGUCCGUCGUGAAGAGGGAAACAACCCAGACCGCCAGCUAAGGUCCCAAAGUCAUGGUUAAGUGGGAAACGAUGUGGGAAGGCCCAGACAGCCAGGAUGUUGGCUUAGAAGCAGCCAUCAUUUAAAGAAAGCGUAAUAGCUCACUGGUCGAGUCGGCCUGCGCGGAAGAUGUAACGGGGCUAAACCAUGCACCGAAGCUGCGGCAGCGACACUGUGUGUUGUUGGGUAGGGGAGCGUUCUGUAAGCCUGUGAAGGUGUACUGUGAGGUAUGCUGGAGGUAUCAGAAGUGCGAAUGCUGACAUAAGUAACGAUAAAGCGGGUGAAAAGCCCGCUCGCCGGAAGACCAAGGGUUCCUGUCCAACGUUAAUCGGGGCAGGGUGAGUCGACCCCUAAGGCGAGGCCGAAAGGCGUAGUCGAUGGGAAACAGGUUAAUAUUCCUGUACUUGGUGUUACUGCGAAGGGGGGACGGAGAAGGCUAUGUUGGCCGGGCGACGGUUGUCCCGGUUUAAGCGUGUAGGCUGGUUUUCCAGGCAAAUCCGGAAAAUCAAGGCUGAGGCGUGAUGACGAGGCACUACGGUGCUGAAGCAACAAAUGCCCUGCUUCCAGGAAAAGCCUCUAAGCAUCAGGUAACAUCAAAUCGUACCCCAAACCGACACAGGUGGUCAGGUAGAGAAUACCAAGGCGCUUGAGAGAACUCGGGUGAAGGAACUAGGCAAAAUGGUGCCGUAACUUCGGGAGAAGGCACGCUGAUAUGUAGGUGAAGUCCCUCGCGGAUGGAGCUGAAAUCAGUCGAAGAUACCAGCUGGCUGCAACUGUUUAUUAAAAACACAGCACUGUGCAAACACGAAAGUGGACGUAUACGGUGUGACGCCUGCCCGGUGCCGGAAGGUUAAUUGAUGGGGUCAGCGCAAGCGAAGCUCUUGAUCGAAGCCCCGGUAAACGGCGGCCGUAACUAUAACGGUCCUAAGGUAGCGAAAUUCCUUGUCGGGUAAGUUCCGACCUGCACGAAUGGCGUAAUGAUGGCCAGGCUGUCUCCACCCGAGACUCAGUGAAAUUGAACUCGCUGUGAAGAUGCAGUGUACCCGCGGCAAGACGGAAAGACCCCGUGAACCUUUACUAUAGCUUGACACUGAACAUUGAGCCUUGAUGUGUAGGAUAGGUGGGAGGCUUUGAAGUGUGGACGCCAGUCUGCAUGGAGCCGACCUUGAAAUACCACCCUUUAAUGUUUGAUGUUCUAACGUGGACCCGUGAUCCGGGUUGCGGACAGUGUCUGGUGGGUAGUUUGACUGGGGCGGUCUCCUCCUAAAGAGUAACGGAGGAGCACGAAGGUUGGCUAAUCCUGGUCGGACAUCAGGAGGUUAGUGCAAUGGCAUAAGCCAGCUUGACUGCGAGCGUGACGGCGCGAGCAGGUGCGAAAGCAGGUCAUAGUGAUCCGGUGGUUCUGAAUGGAAGGGCCAUCGCUCAACGGAUAAAAGGUACUCCGGGGAUAACAGGCUGAUACCGCCCAAGAGUUCAUAUCGACGGCGGUGUUUGGCACCUCGAUGUCGGCUCAUCACAUCCUGGGGCUGAAGUAGGUCCCAAGGGUAUGGCUGUUCGCCAUUUAAAGUGGUACGCGAGCUGGGUUUAGAACGUCGUGAGACAGUUCGGUCCCUAUCUGCCGUGGGCGCUGGAGAACUGAGGGGGG